rnacentral:lncRNA from 1 species
GUUUUUCCACAUGGGGCAAUUGAAAUUAAGGACCCAACGAACGGUGUCACGUUUAAAGUUAAUGGUCAAAGAUUAAAGCCAUAUCUAGAAUACCAACCACAUGGAGAAGACACCGAAAUAAAUUUGAGUGACCCACCAAAUUUGAAUUGAUUUUUUUUUCUUUUCGUUGAUUUGAUUUUUCUUUAUUUCUUUUUAUUAUUAUUCUUUUGCUAAUUGAAAUUGUUUUUGCAUAAGUGUGUUUAUUUUACCAUUAAGUUUUCUCUUAUCAUUUUUAAUCAUGAGUCUCAUACUUAGACCGUUCCUCCUGAACAUUCUUAAACCACUUCAAC